rnacentral:rRNA from 1 species
UACGAAGGGGGCUAGCGUUGCUCGGAAUCACUGGGCGUAAAGCGCACGUAGGCGGAUUGCUAAGUCAGGGGUGAAAUCCUGGAGCUCAACUCCAGAACUGCCUUUGAUACUGGCGACCUUGAGUCCGGGAGAGGUGAGUGGAACUGCGAGUGUAGAGGUGAAAUUCGUAGAUAUUCGCAAGAACACCAGUGGCGAAGGCGGCUCACUGGACCGAUACUGACGCUGAGGCGCGAAAGCGUGGGGAGCAAACAGG